AAGGCUGUGGGAGAGGUAGAGACCUGGAUUGCGUUUUUGUUCCCCCUCCCGGUUUCUGAUUUUUGCUCUUCUUUAUACCAGGCUCUAAUGCUAGAAAAUUUACAAAAACACUCAACACCCCAUGCUGCAUUCCAGCCAAAUUCACAGGUAAGAGAAAAGGUUUGUUUAGAUAGAAUGGGCUAUUUGGAGACUAUAGUAAGUAAAUGGGAAGACAUGGUGUUGUUUUCCUUGUCAUCAGAAGCAGUAUUUUCUUAAACUAUUUUUAUUGCAAGUGAUCUCACACUAGACAGUUGAUGUCUUUUUUUUUUUUUUAAGGUUUAUUUUUAUUUUAUGUGUAUGGGUGAUUUGCCUCCCAAAGGGUCCCCACAGAGGCCAGAAGAGGAUGUCAAAUCCUCUGGAACUGGAGUUACAGACAGCCGUGAGCCACCAUAUGGGUGCAGAAUUGAACCUGGGUCCUCUAUAAAAGCAGCCAGGCCUCUUAACCAUUGAGCCAUCUCUCCAGCCCUCAGACAGUUGAAUUCUAAUCAACCUCAAUUUUGUAUAAAGACAUGGAGUUUAAAAAAAGAAAAAGAAUUUAAAAAAUACAGUUUUAUUUGAAAGAAUUUGAUACCUUAUUAGUAACCCCCUAGUUCUAGGACUAACUGCUUAACAAUCUGUAGUUUCUCUUAAACAUCUUUAAUACUUUGAUUACUUAGGACAAGAUACUUAACACUUGGAGUCCUUUGUUUCUUUACCUGUAAUAGGAAGAGUAGUCUGACUUAGGUCAUUGUUUUAUAACUACUCUGCCGGUUUGUCUUAGGAAAAAAACUUUCUUCUAAGAGUUUGUGCAUAAAUGUUUUUGUUGUUGUUGUUAUUGUUGUAAAGUUGAAUCAGAGUAUCUCUGUGUAGCCAGAAUGGCUGAGCACUCAAGCUAUUCUAUCUUCAGACUCAGGGCAGUCCCCUGCCCAGCUUCCCUAGUGCUGGUGUAAUGGGCUUGUGCUCCAUCCCCCAGAUUUCUACAAAUGUUUUAUUUUGAAGACAUUAUCGUAUAGUUAAAAACAAAAUACAAGUUUCUACACUAUAUCAUCUUGUAGGGCGUUUUUCAGCUUUUAAACCCUUCAUUUAGUGUGUCACACACUUAAAGGAAAAUGCAUUGGUGUGGGCCCAGGACACUGGAAAAGGUGCUUCCUGUUCCCUAAUACCUCAUUCAAAUCUAGGCCCAUCAUCUAGUCAGCUCUGGGAGGUUACACAGCGUUAAAAGGCUACCUAACGGCCCGGAGAGAUAGCUCAGUAGUCAAGAGUGCUUGUUGCUCAAUGACUCAAACCAGAGCUCAAGAUCUCAGCACUAUAUCAGAUGGCUCACACACACCUGUAGCUCCAGUUCCAUGGGAUCUAAUGUCUCCUCGGUUCCUGAGAACAUGACUGAGCACACAAACACAAGCAUGCACUCACAGAUACAUGUACAUACACACAUAAAUGAAGCUGAGAAGAUGACUCGGUAGUGCCCUUUAUAGAGGACCCAGGUUUGGGUCCCAGCACCUACAUGGUGGCUCACAGACAUCCAUAACUCCAAUUCCAAGGUAUCCUAUAUCCUCCUCUAUCCUCCUCUGCUAUAGGCACACACAUCCAUGCAGUUAAAACAUUCAGGCGUGUAAAAUAAUCUUUAAAAACCAAUUAAGAAAAAACCUAAGAUAGUUCCGUCAUAGUUGUAUUUUGGAUCGCACUUUAGACUGUGCAGUUUUACUUGUAUCAACAAAGGUUGUGCAGCACAUACGCUUGUUUUCUCAGACUUAUAAUCCACAUUUUGUCUGUGGCCAUUGGCUACUAAGGGACUUACUGUAAGGGAAAUAAGCAUUUCCUGCUAGAGAAUAUGACAGAAAGCACAGGAAGUAUUGGACUGGCUUCAUUUCUGAAGGUCUAUAGGCAUGUAAGGACUUAAGGAGGAGAGUUUGUGACAAGAAAGCUGAAGGACAAAGAGUGAUGUUUGCACCCUACAGAAAGGGGCACAGGGGUAACCCUGGUCUGGCUGCCCUGGAAUUCCUGCCUCUGCCUCCGGGGCUGGGAUUAAAGCACGGGCCAUAACUAGCCUGGCGUGCUGAGGUUUCUUUUCACUCAAACAACAAAACGGCUGAUUGGUUGCUUUGGAGUUUUUGAGGCAGGGACUUAGUGUGUAGCUCAGGCUGGACUCAAACAUACAGCAGUUUUCUAACCUCAGCUUCUCUGGUGGGAUUGCAGGCAUACGCCAUAAAUACACCCCUUUCUGUGGUUUAUUUUGUUUAAUUUUUAAUGGAAGUGGAGUUACAAGUCUCUCAAGUAUUAAUGUAUGUUCCUUUCCUUUGUCUCUUGAUUUUAUGUAUUUAAAUAGUUUUUUAUAUUUAUUUAUAGUUUAUGCAUAUAUUUGUUAUGCCUGCAAUUGUGUAUAUGCACCAUGUUUAUGCCUGGUCCCCCCAGGGGUCAGAAACAGGCAUUGGAUACCUGGAACUGUAGUUAACAGAUGAUUGUGAGCCAGUACACACUGGGACUCAAACCUAGGUCCCCUGUAAGAGUGAGCAGCUGGUGCUCUUAACCGCUGAGCCGUCUCUCUGCCCCUGCGCUUGAUCUUUUGAGAUACAUGACAGGAUGUUUUUCUGGCUUGGUGGAGCUUGAUCUUUUUGGAGAAACUAGUACUUUUUUCUUCUCAGAUUUCCUUGUUUUUAAAAAUUUGUUUCAGAUUUAUUUAUUGUUUGUAUGAGUGUUUUACCUGCAUGAAUGCAUGUGUACUAUAUCAGUGCCUGGUGCCCAAAGGGGUCAGAAGAAAGUGUCAGAUGCCCUGGAACUGGAGUUACAGGUGGUUGUGAGCUACUAUGUGGAUUCUGGGAACCAGACCUGGGUCUUCUGCAAGGACAAGCGUUGCUUCUCUCUGCUGAUUCAUCUCUCUAGCACUUAUCUUUUUUUGAGACCGAAACUCACUAUGUAGCUCUCGAUAGUCUGGAACUCACUGUAUAGACCAGACUGGCCCAGAACUCACAGAGAUCUACCAGCUUCUGCCUCUCUGGUGCUGAGAUUAAAGAUAUGUACUAUCUCAACUCUUCUCAAUUUUGAGAAAAAUAGUACAUUAUUUUUAGAUAAAUAAUAAUAAAACAUUUAAAUGAAAAGGCAUAAUUCAGCCUGAGGAUAAAGCGUACACACACACACACACAGAGGUGGGAGUUGAUGAUAUGACAUGGGAGACAGGGUCCAUUGUGGUAGCACACCUGUACUACUCAGACUAGGGUGCUGAUGCCAAAGGAUUGCAAGUUUGAAGCCAGCCUAGACUGUAGGGUUACCUUUUUUCUAAAAGAUGCAUAAUCCCUAAAAUUCUUUAUUCUUCAGGUUACUUGUGUAUUAACAUCAAUCCUGGGACUGAAUAUUUCGAAUAAAAUAUUAAUAUAUUCUUUUUGCCAUAGUGCUAUUGAUUGUAACCUUUUUUUUUUUUUAACUUUAUCUGCAUUUAUUUUAUGCUGAAUUUAUUCCCGGGACAUGAGUUUUAUUUCUUCAGUUUCUUCUGGGAUAUCUUUUUCUUCUAUGCAGCCUCCUCUUCUGGCUUUGGAACGAUCUGUUCCUUCUCAAUGAGGAUCAUCUCACUGUGGCAGGGGGAGCUCAUGGAUGGGUUAAUCCAGCCAUGAGCUCUGUGGGUUCGUCGGCGCAUCUUAGGUGCCUUGUUCACCUGGAUGUGUUCAAUGACUAGAGAGUCUACAUCUAAACCCUUAAGUUCAGUAUUACUCUCUGCAUUUUUAAGCAUGUGCAGCAAAAAUUCAGCACUCUUUUUUUGGCCACCGACCCUGUGUCCAACCAGCCCCACUGUUUGGCCUGGGCCCACCUACUGACUCCACCAUUAUACCGCCGGAAUGGCACACAUUGCUUCUUUAAAGUGACGUCCUUCAGAUACCUGGUGGCUUUGCGGAUAUGCAUACCUUUGAUGGCCUGGGCAGUUUCCCAGGUGUUCUUAAAGUGAACACGAAGGUUUGAACCUCUUGAUUUGCAUGAAUUUGUGGGUUUUUCUGGGUCAAGAGGGUAGCAAACCAUCUUGGCAGGUGACCUCUGGCAGCUUAGAGGAAGAGGAUUCUGACCUUUAAUAUAGGAACAGCUUAGAAAAAGCCUUUAGCUGGCCAUUGAUGGUGCAUAUCUUUAUUCCCAGUACUCGAGAUGCAUAUGCAGGCAGAUCUCUGAGUUUGAGGCCAGGACAGCCCAGGCUACACAGAGAAACUGUCUUGAAA
rnacentral:lncRNA from 1 species